GACCAUGUCUCCAAGCAGCAGAGAGACGAAGCAGAGACUGACGUCAAGCGGCCAGCCUUGGGCCUUGUCGUGUGUGCGGCGUCUGUUCAGGCCAGCCGACAAAAUCUGGAGAGCCACGACGCCCGCUGCGAGGCCGCGCGACAUACCGAGCGAGCUCCACGCGCUGACGCCGGCCUCGUAUGGCCGAACCGACGCCUAAUUAGCAAGAGGAUAGAAUUAGAAACACACGCGCUAUGACAUUUCACGCGUUCAAGUGGAGAGUACGGUCAUUCCAAUCUUUCCACCGGACUUGUCAGUACUCGAAGGAACCGGCACUGCUGGAUCCCCGAAACAACAGGCCACGGUCACGUGUGGGUCUCAGCGUGAACCGGACCGGGACUUGACCCCGGAGCGGCACUGAAACUCCAAUGACCUCAUGAGGCACAAGAGGAGAGAGGACUUAUCCCUCUGGCAAAACAAGCUGCUCAGAGCUCAGAGUUUCAAAAAAAAAAAAAAAAUUCUGGGAGAAGUGUCGUCUCCAGACAGCUUGAAAUGCUGCAAAGCUGGAAGGCAAGCGUACAUGAGACAAAAAAGAAAAAAAAAUAACUAACAUGCUGGAACACAGACAUCCUGUUAGUAGUGAUUUAAGGCAUGAGGGGACUCUGGGAAAUAUACCUCAUGAUAAAAAUUUUAUAUCCUUUAUGUAGUUGGAGCCAGGAAGCUGUUGAGCGUAAGGGAUUGGGGCGGGAGGGAAAACAGGUAGACGGAGUCUGGUGGAAUCUCAGAAAUGCGUCCGAAGCUCCCUGUGGAAAGACACAGCAGAACUGGCACUUUUAGCUCUGUGAUGAUGCAACGCCACGAGCCUGAGGUGAAAGAUUCAGGGUUUCCACUGCAGGAGAACAGAUUAGAAGCAGAACAAUCAUAAAGGUGGGACCAGGCUUUCCCCUUCAUUUUAUUUUUCUUAAUUUUUUUAAUUUGGUGAUUUAUAAACCCUACUGCUCUUUAACUACAAAAUAAAUGGUACGUGUCAAAUAGCAGAGGUUAUAUUAAGCUCACCAAGAUAGGAUAAAGUAUGAAUAUAGAAAAGAAGUAAGAGAGAAAUGUUAUUUUUGGUGAAAUAUCAACGUGGGUCAAUCUGUUGACAGGAGGGUUGUCGGUUUAAACCGUUACAAAUCUGAUCUUUGACCGAACGAAAACGGUUGUUGAAAGCCACAGCCAUGUAAGUGAUCAAUCCAGUGGAAAUGCAAGUUCCACAAAUAUAGAUAUUUUGGGAAAAGAAAAAAGAGCGUUGGGGGGGGAAAAAAACGAACAUGGAGCAUUAGCCUGAGCAUGCCAUUCCCACUGUGAGACACGGUGGUGGCAGCGUCAUGCUGUGGGUGUGAUGGGAGAACAAUUCAUCCUUCAACUGGACCAUGAACGUAGACAUACAGUGUAUUCACUGACACUCUCCAUACAAGUUUGAGCAAUUUAAAAAAAAGAAGAUAAAUAAAAAUGUGAAUCGAAGUCGCAAGAAAUCACAAGAAAUGCGCCAAAGUUUGCGGCUGUGAUGUGACAACAUGUUGAAGCAGUUUGAGGGGUGUGAAUACUUUUCUCAAAAUUUUGUUUACGUUCUUUGCCAAUAAUAUCCAGCCGACAGAAUGACCUCUUUUUGUUCUUAUCAAUUUAAAACCCAAUAAACUGCAUGCCAAUGGACACAUUUUAUGUAAACUAA